rnacentral:lncRNA from 1 species
GAAGGCAGACCAGCGUCCAGGACUCGCAGAGCUUUCUGAACCUCUGUCGCCUUCCCCGGGUACUUUUCUCAUCCAACACAUAGUUCCCCAUGGAAGUAAAAACCCUUAAAAGACGAGAAAGGCCUAUGAUUGUGCCUUUCGGGGUAGCUGGGUGGAUUGAGGCGGGGGAACCUCCAGAGACAGGGUGGGCAGUGCUGCUGCCAAAGCGAGGGAGCCGGCAGAGUCCUUGGGGCUCCGGCAAGGGAAAGACGGCACCCCCCACCCUGCCGAGGCCCCUCCUGAAUGAGGGCCGAGAACUGCAGGGUUGGAGCCUGGGAACCAUGGAAACCGUGGCCAGGCAUUUUCCACAGGACACCGGGAGCCCCUGAGGCAACACCUAGCUUUUCAGAGAGCGGCUGCCGGCACUUCUGCCCAGAGCAGAGGCCUGUUCCCUUGACUGGCCCUGAGGUGGGAGGAAUGGGAGUCCCCGAGGGAGGCUACGGUAGGAUAUCUUCCCUAGAGACAGGGUCUUGCUCUGUUGCCCAGGCAGGUCUUGAAUUCCUGGGCUCAAGCGAUCCUCCUGCCUCAGCCUCUUGAGUAGUUUACUACAAGAUCUUUUCUGGCCUGAGAAAGGGGGCCUCCCCUGUCUAGAGGGAGAUCGGGCUCUCCCUGUGAGUGGGCCAAGGAGCCUCUUGGAGAGGGUUUCUAGAUUUAGCAAAUAAAAAUACAGGGUACUCGGUUAAAUUUGAACUUGCAUUUCAGAUAAACGACGAAUAACUUUUUAGCAUGAGUAUUUCUCAUGCAAUAUUGGCUACAUACUUACACUUAAAAAAAUUGUUACCUGAAAUUCAAAUGUAACUGGAUGCCCUGUGUUUUAUCUGGUAAUCCCAGUCUUGGAAGGAAAAGGAUCAAAUACGAACCCCCUAAUUCUCUGAGCCUUCUUGGUCCAGCCCACACAGCUGGAAGCCCAAAGGUGGCGCUCUUGGAGUCUGACCUCCCCUGGCACAGGGUUUGAGAUGGUCUUUACCCAGCUCCACUGGCCCAAAAGUAGCCCAUAGACCCAAAAGGGGCCUAGCACCUCUCCCCAGGGCAUCAGGAUGGGGCCCCAGGUCCCCAACUGGUUGUCCUGUGGACCUCAGGGAAUGACGAGGCAGGAGUCAAGAGCCUCGGUUGCAGCUCCCGCUGUGCUGCCCACGACUGGCUCCGGGGUCAGAUGAUCUGCUGGUUCAAAUCCUGACUCAGCCUCCUACUAGCCAGGCCAGUCUCUAGACCCCUCUCAGCCUCCAUGUCCUCACCUGAGAAAACAGGGUCACAAUACCUGCCUUGCCAACGUGGUGAGGACCAGCGGAGAAGAUGAAAGGGCUUAUAUUCCAAAGCCCACAAGGUGCUCAGUAAAUGAGCGAGAACCCCGACAUCCAUUCUGAUCCUCAAGCGUUGGGGAGAAGAGACGGCUCCCCAGUAUGGGACAACUCU